GUCACUUUGCCGGAGUGGUUAACGGGAUCGCCUGCUACCUAGCAUCCAGCGGUUGCACUUUGUGCGCGUGUGUUCGAAUCGCACAGGUGACG